UACAGAGGUCUCAAGCGUUGUUCGGAUUCAUUGGGCGUAAAGGGUGCGUAGGCGGUCGGGUAAGUCUGACGUGAAAUCUCCGGGCCUAACCCGGAAACUGCGUUGGAUACUACCUGACUAGAGGAAUGGAGGGGAGACUGGAAUACUUGGUGUAGCAGUGAAAUGCGUAGAUAUCAAGUGGAACACCAGUGGCGAAGGCGAGUCUCUGGACAUUUCCUGACGCUGAGGCACGAAAGCCAGGGGAGCAAACGGG
rnacentral:rRNA from 1 species